UACGAAGGGGGCUAGCGUUGCUCGGAAUCACUGGGCGUAAAGGGUGCGUAGGCGGGUCUUUAAGUCAGGGGUGAAAUCCUGGAGCUCAACUCCAGAACUGCCUUUGAUACUGAAGAUCUUGAGUUCGGGAGAGGUGAGUGGAACUGCGAGUGUAGAGGUGAAAUUCGUAGAUAUUCGCAAGAACACCAGUGGCGAAGGCGGCUCACUGGCCCGAGUACUGACGCUGA
rnacentral:rRNA from 1 species